UUAAGUGAAUAAGGGCGCACGGAGGAUGCCUUGGCACUAGGAGUCGAAGAAGGACGCGACAAACGGCGAAACGCCUCGGGGAGCUGUAAGUGAGCAUUGAUCCGGGGGUAUCCGAAUGGGGAAACCCGCUAGUGGUUAUACGCUAGCACCAUAUGGUGAAUACAUAGCCAUAUAGGAGACAGACCCAGGGAACUGAAACAUCUAAGUACCUGGAGGAAAAGAAAGAAAAAUCGAUUCCCGUAGUAGCGGCGAGCGAAGUGGGAAGAGCCCAAACCGGAUUUAUCCGGGGUUGUAGGACCUUCAUAAUUGACAAAUCAUGAUAGCCGAAUGGUCUGGGAAGGCCAACCGUAGGGGGUGAGAGUCCCGUAGGUGAAAUUGUGAGAUGCAUGGAAGGAAUCCUGAGUACGGCGGGACACGUGGAAUCCCGUCGGAAUCAACGAGGACCAUCUCGUAAGGCUAAAUACUACCUAGUGACCGAUAGUGAACCAGUACCGUGAGGGAAAGGUGAAAAGAACCCCGGAAGGGGAGUGAAAGAGAACCUGAAACCGUGUGCCUACAAAUAGUCAGAGCCCGUUAAUGGGUGAUGGCGUGCCUUUUGUAGAAUGAACCGGCGAGUUACGAUAUCGUGCGAGGUUAAGCAGAAGAUGCGGAGCCGUAGCGAAAGCGAGUCUGAAUAGGGCGAAGAGUACGAUGUUGUAGACCCGAAACCGUGUGAGCUAGCCAUGAGCAGGCUGAAGGUCAGGUAACACUGACUGGAGGGCCGAACCAGGGCACGUUGAAAAGUGCUUGGAUGACUUGUGGCUAGGGGUGAAAUUCCAAUCGAACACGGAUAUAGCUGGUUCUCUCCGAAAUAGCUUUAGGGCUAGCCUCGAUGUUAAGUCUACUGGAGGUAGAGCACUGAAUGGGUGAUGGCCCCACCUCGGGGUACUGAUCUCAAUCAAACUCCGAAUGCCAGAUAGAUAUAAUCGGGAGUCAGACUGUGGGUGAUAAGGUCCAUGGUCAAAAGGGAAAGAGCCCAGACCGCCAGCUAAGGCCCCCAAGUGUCCGUUAAGUGGAAAAGGAUGUGGAGAUGCACAGACAACUAGGAGGUUGGCUUAGAAGCAGCCAUCCUUUAAAGAGUGCGUAAUAGCUCACUAGUCGAGUGACUCUGCGCCGAAAAUGUACCGGGGCUAAACGGACCGCCGAAGCUGCGGAUUGACUUUAGAGUCAGUGGUAGGAGAGCGUUCUAACAGCGGUGAAGCAGUACCGGAAGGAGCUGUGGAGCGGUUAGAAGUGAGAAUGCCGGUGUGAGUAGCGAAAGAUAGGUGAGAAUCCUAUCCAUCGAAAGCCUAAGGUUUCCAGGGGAAGGCUCGUCCGCCCUGGGUAAGUCGGGACCUAAGGUGAGGCCGAAAGGCGUAGCCGAUGGACAACAGGUUGAUAUUCCUGUACCACUUAUUAAACUGAUGGAGUGACGGAGAAGGCUAAGUUGAGCGUGUGAUUGGAUUCACGUGUAAGCAGUGAGGUGGUCAUGUAGGCAAAUCCGCAUGGCAUAACAUUGAGCUGUGAUGCCGAAGCCGAAUGGCGAAGUCAACUGACGUCACGCUUCCAAGAAAAGCUUCUAGGGUUAAUUUAAUAAGUGCCCGUACCGAUAACCGACACAGGUAGGCGAGGAGAGAAUCCUAAGAUGAGCGAGAGAACUCUUGUUAAGGAACUCGGCAAAAUGACCCCGUAACUUCGGGAGAAGGGGUGCUUGUGAAAGCAAGCCGCAGUGAAUAGGCCCAGGCGACUGUUUAUCAAAAACACAGGUCUCUGCUAAACCGCAAGGUGAUGUAUAGGGGCUGACGCCUGCCCGGUGCUGGAAGGUUAAGAGGAGAGGUUAGCGCAAGCGAAGCUUUGAAUUGAAGCCCCAGUAAACGGCGGCCGUAACUAUAACGGUCCUAAGGUAGCGAAAUUCCUUGUCGGGUAAGUUC
rnacentral:rRNA from 1 species